GCAUCUGUAACGGAGAACAUGUAAGUUAUGCUUGUUAAUUAUCUGCAUCUUGUAAAACAUGAUCACAUAUAGAAAAUCACAAUAAAAAAUAACGUUACAAAUGAAAUCUGUGUGUGUGUGUGUGUGUGUGUAAAACGGGUAAAUGUGGUCGUCUCAUUUGAGACUGAGCCAAAUGGUUUUCGUUAAUUGGCCGUGCAAUAUCAUACAGCUGGGCCUGAUUAAAACUCUAUACCGUGAAGAAAGAGAGAAAUUAGGAGAGGACAGAAAGAAAGAGAGAGAUGAGGAGAAGAAAGAGCCAGAGAGGGUCCCAACAUGUGCUAUGCUCACAUCGCAGGAAAAAGAAUACCAAGGGAAAUUCCCGGGAACUAUUCCCCAUCUCCCAUCUCAGUCUGCUUCUGGAAUGUGAUGGUCCUUCUUCCCUAAAUCCUUCCCUCUCAUGUCAUUUACAUACUACUCUUAAUCUUCCCAAAUCCCUCUCUCACGAAAGUCAGGCAGGAAUUUCUCCAGAAGAGGAGGAAAGGCUGUCUCGACUGAUAUUUUAUGACUCUGAGGGAAUUAUGCAGGGAUUAGAGAGGAAAUUGAUGAGGAACAGCACUAUGAAAUGUCUUUCUCUCGCUCUCACUCUUUGGAAGAACACCAGUGCUUUGUCUUCAUAGAUAUUGGUUACGUGGACUUGUUUUUUAAAACAUUUAAGAAGGCUAAGCAAUUUAUAAAUGGUCAGUAUUCAUAAACAGACCCACCUGUGCUUUUCUAGUCUCAUGUAGCCGGACUUUCUACCAUCAGCAUAAGAACCACCAAUUUAGACAAGAGGCCAUUUAACACCACAUAAAGUCUCUGACCACAGGUUACUUUUAAUAUGUGACUUUUAGAAGUUGGUUGUUUUGAAAUAGGAAGAUUAUGGGUUUAUCUUUUAAAAAAUGGUAUUUUGUAAAAUAUUUUGCAUGUAAAACUACUUUAUUUUGCAAUAAAUACCACAUAAUUUGAUAUUU